rnacentral:rRNA from 1 species
AAAACUUUCAACAACGGAUCUCUUGGCUCUGGCAUCGAUGAAGAACGCAGCGAAAUGCGAUAAGUAAUGUGAAUUGCAGAAUCCAGUGAAUCAUCGAAUCUUUGAACGCACAUUGCGCCCGCCAGCAUUCUGGCGGGCAUGCCUGUUCGAGCGUCAUUUCAACCCUCGACCUCCCUUUG